GAUGAACGCUGGCGGCGUGCUUAACACAUGCAAGUCGAACGGAAAGGCCCAAGCUUGCUUGGGUACUCGAGUGGCGAACGGGUGAGUAACACGUGGGUGAUCUGCCCUGCACUUCGGGAUAAGCCUUGGAAACUGGGUCUAAUACCGGAUAGGACGAUGGUUUGGAUGCCAUUGUGGAAAGUUUUUGCGGUGUGGGAUGAGCUCGCGGCCUAUCAGCUUGUUGGUGGGGUAUUGGCCUACCAAGGCGUCGACGGGUAGCCGGCCUGAGAGGGUGUACGGCCACAUUGGGACUGAGAUACGGCCCAGACUCCGACGGGAGGCAGCAGGGGGGAAUAUUGCACAAUGGGCGCAAGCCUGAUGCAGCGACGCCGCGUGGGGGAUGACGGCCUUCGGGUUGUAAACUCCUAUCGCUAGGGACGAAGCGUUGUUGUGACGGUACCUGGAGAAGAAGCACCGGCUAACUACGUG
rnacentral:rRNA from 1 species